GACGAACGCUGGCGGCGUGCUUAACACAUGCAAGUCGAGCGGUAAGGCCCUUUCGGGGGUACGACGAGCGGCGAACGGGUGAGUAACACGUGGGUGACCUGCCUUUAGUCUCUGGGAUAAGCCUGGGAAACUGGGUCUAAUACCGGAUAUGACCCUAUGGCGCAUGUUGUGGGGUGGGAAAGCCUUGUGCGGCUAGGGAUGGGCCCGCGGCCUAUCAGCUUGUUGGUGGGGUGAUGGCCUACCAAGGCGACGACGGGUAGCCGGCCUGAGAGGGCGACCGGCCACACUGGGACUGAGACACGGCCCAGACUCCUACGGGAGGGCAGCAGUGGGGAAUCUUGCGCAAUGGGCGAAAGCCCGACGCAGCGACGCCGCGUGAGGGAUGACGGCCU
rnacentral:rRNA from 1 species